rnacentral:rRNA from 1 species
UACAGAGACUGCAAGCGUUAUUCGGAUUCACUGGGCGUAAAGGGUGCGCAGGCGGCCGGGUGUGUCAGAUGUGAAAUCCCGAGGCUCAACCUCGGAACUGCGUCUGAAACUACUCGGCUAGAGUACUGGAGAGGGUAACGGAAUUCACGGUGUAGCAGUGAAAUGCGUAGAUAUCGUGAGGAACACCAGAGGCGAAGGCGGUUACCUGGACAGUUACUGACGCUCAGGCAGCGAAAGCGUGGGGAGCAAAAGGG